rnacentral:lncRNA from 1 species
AAGGUGUCUGAAUUUUAAGCUGUAGGGAACAUAAGUCAUUUUUAACUUUGACAUUUUGUACUGUAGUUGCAGAAAUUGUAAGAAACGUCGUUGAAGAUUUUAGUGAUAGGAAUACCUGUAGCUACUUCAAGAGACCUUUUGUGGUGAUUUGUUCUUCCAAAUACCUGCCUGUGUGUGCAUCAGAUGGUAUAACAUAUGGCAACAUAUGCCUCUAUUGUAAAAGCUACUUUGAAAAACUGAAAAGAACUAGAAUAAUGAUUGUCCAUGAAGGUGAAUGCAAAAAUUCAUAUUGACUUCUUGAGCCAUCAAUCUACUUUAAAAUUUUUCAUUUUCACCUGUCAGAUGUAUGGGAAAGGGAGAAUUUAAGACCCAUUAAGAGAUAGAGAACAUUACAAAAUUUAAAAGGAAUAAUUUUGAUUAUAUUAAAUUAAAAAGGUUUUGUACAAACAAAACCAAUGCAACCAAAAUUAGAAGGGAAGCAACAAACUGGGAGAAAUUUUUAUAACAAAAACUUCUGACAAAGGUCUAAUUUCUCAAAUUUUUGAGGAACUAAGACAUAUGUAAAAGAAAUCAAGUCAUUCCCCAA